GGAUUUCUGUUUUGAUGUUCGAAACAUAAGUUUGAGGAACACAAAUAUCACACCUCAAACCACAUCAGCUUGCACCUGCUUGCCCAAAUUUGACGUGACACCGGAAAAAAAUAGAGGUGCAAUGGCAACAGAGGAAAUGGAACAAAAUGACAGUGGGCCAGUUUUUGACCAGACCCCAACUCCUCAUGUUGAUACACUCAAAGGUACUACAAACUCUGGAUCUGAUCCACCACUUACAGAGCAAGAGUGUAUCCGUUCUCUGUGGGAUUUAAUUUGUUCCAAGGACAUUGACCAA